rnacentral:rRNA from 1 species
GCUCAGAACGAACGCUGGUGGCGUGCUUAACACAUGCAAGUCGAACGAGAAAGUUUCCUUCGGGAAAUUAGUAAAGUGGCGCAAGGGUGAGUAUCACGUGAAUAAUCUGCCCUCGAGAUCGGGAUAACAUGGUGAAAACUAUGCUAAUACCGGAUAAGACCACAUUUCAGAAGAAAUGUGGUAAAAGGGGUCUCAAUCUCCACUCGAGGAUGAGUUCGCGCAACAUUAGCUUGUUGGUGAGAUAAAAGCUCACCAAGGCUACGAUGUUUAGCCGGCCUGAGAGGGUGAACGGCCACACUGGAACUGAGACACGGUCCAGACUCCUACGGGAGGCAGCAGUGGGGAAUAUUGCGCAAUGGGCGAAAGCCUGACGCAGCAACGCCGUGUGAGCGAUGAAGGCUUUAGGGUCGUAAAGCUCUGUCAAAUGGGAAGAAUUUUGACGGUACCAUUAGAGGAAGCCCCGGCUAACUCCGUGCCAGCAGCCGCGGUAAUACGGAGGGGGCAAGCGUUGUUCGGAAUUAUUGGGCGUAAAGCGUAUGUAGGCGGCUAAGUAAGUCAGGCGUGCAAGCCCGUGGCUCAACCACGGAAUUGCGUUUGAAACUGCUUAGCUUGAGUACAGGAGAGGAAAGCGGAAUUCCCAGUGUAGCGGUGAAAUGCAUUGAUAUUGGGAAGAACAUCUGUGGCGAAGGCGGCUUUCUGGUCUGUUACUGACGCUGAGAUACGAAAGCCAGGGUAGCGAACGGGAUUAGAUACCCCGGUAGUCCUGGCUGUAAACGAUGGGCACUAGGUGCAGGAGGUAUCGAUCCCCUCUGUGCCGUAGCUAACGCGUUAAGUGCCCCGCCUGGGGAGUACGGUCGCAAGGCUGAAACU